rnacentral:rRNA from 1 species
CAGCACGGGAGCAAUCCUGGUGGCGAGUGGCGAACGGGUGAGGUAAUAUAUCGGAACGUGCCCAGUCGUGGGGGAUAACGUAGCGAAAGCUACGCUAAUACCGCAUACGAUCUAUGGAUGAAAGCGGGGGAUCGCAAGACCUCGCGCGAUUGGAGCGGCCGAUAUCAGAUUAGGUAGUUGGUGAGGUAAAGGCUCACCAAGCCGACGAUCUGUAGCUGGUCUGAGAGGACGACCAGCCACACUGGGACUGAGACACGGCCCAGACUCCUACGGGAGGCAGCAGUGGGAAUUUUGGACAAUGGACGCAAGUCUGAUCCAGCCAUUCCGCGUGCAGGAUGAAGGCCCUCGGGUUGUAAACUGCUUUUGUACGGAACGAAAAGGUUUGUCUUAAUACGAUGAGCUCAUGACGGUACCGUAAGAAUAAGCACCGGCUAACUACGUG